UUCUCUCUUUCUCUGUCUUUCAGGCUCUCUCUCCUCCCCAUCUAUUUUCCUCUACUUCCCAUUUCUCCAUUUUUCUCUUUCUCUCUCUCUCAUUCUGUUUCUUUAUUUCAUACAAAGGUGUGCGCGCGCGAUGAAAGAGUUUGUUCCCCUGAUCGUUUAUUGUCGAUAAUCUCCAAACAUUAUUUAGAAUAAAUGCACUUAUCAAUUCAGAUGUCAGGUGAACUUGUUUAGGAAUUAAUAAUAAUUGUCAACACAAAGACAUUGAUAAUGUCUGCUUUAUGAUUUUUUUUUUUGUGGGUAAAGAAAUUCAAAAUCGUGAUAUUUUGUGUAUGGGUGACGCUGAGUUUGCUUUCGUAGACUUUAAAUCUGACAGUAAAAAGACAUCUAUCAAUAUUUUACAUUUGGAUUAUUUGAUUUGUUAUCAUGUGAAAUGGGCCUGAAGACUUUACAAUUCAGAUGCAUCGAUAUGUUCAUCAAUUUUUGAAGAUAACAAGAAGACUUUAUGAAGAACAUAUGUUUGCAGAAAUCCUGGGUUUAAUUCAUCAAGAUCAUUAUCCUCAGCAUUUUAAUACAUAUUUUAUGAAGCAAACACAGAUUUGUUGGAAUACAGCAAAUCACUAGUUAUGUUGGGGUUUUUUUUAUCACCGCUUCUUAGAAACACUUCAUUGUGAAAUCUGAUCUUCCACAUUUAUUUUCAAACACCUUUGUAAAUCUACCUUUUUCCCCAAAUACCUUCUAUUGACAGUAUAUAGUAAUUUUUUUUAUCAAGUAUUCAUCUUUCAUUUACAAAUACUGUGAAAGAUUUCCUUUCAACUGAAACUAACCUCAGUAUAAAUAUUAAUUACCUCGAAAUGUGUGCUGGAUUGAAUAAUUCACUAUGAGUAUUUGAAUGAACAAGAAUGUAUGGAUCUGUGUUGACAAGUAGAGAUAUUUUAGCUAUUAUUGGGGUUUUUUUCCUAAUUUACUAGCUUUUUAUUAUAAGAUUGAGUUCUAUUCUAAUUAAUCCUCUUGAAACAAUUACUUCAGAAGUGAUUAUAUUGUUAUUUAUAAUUUUGUUAUCAAUUGUUUGAAACAUCUUCAAAAUAUGUCAAAGACAACAGUGUUGUGGUGGAAAAAUAUAGUGAGAGAAAUAUAUUCUAAAUCACAUUAAAAAAAGCAGGAAAAAUAAUUUUGUGCUGUAUGAUGGAAGUAGAAGGUUUUGAAGAGGAAAUUGUUUAAGUCUCAGAAGAAAUAUAGAAAGAAAAUAUUGAUGUUUGUGUUCAGACACUGAAAAUAACUGAAUAAAUCAUAUCUUUGUAUCAA